AUUGAACGCUGGCGGCAUGCUUUACACAUGCAAGUCGAACGGUAACAGGCCUUCGGGUGCUGACGAGUGGCGAACGGGUGCGUAAUGCAUCGGAACGUACCCAGAGGUGGGGGAUAACGCAGCUAAAGCUGUGCUAAUACCGCAGGUUAUCUGAGGAUGAAAGCGGGGGACCGAGCAGCAAUGUUUGGCCUCGCGCCUUUGGAGCGGCCGAUGUCGGAUUAGAUAGUUGGUGGGGUAAAGGCCUACCAAGGCGACGAUCCGUAGCUGGUCUGAGAGGACGACCAGCCACACUGGGACUGAGACACGGCCCAGACUCCUAAGGGAGGCAGCAGUGGGGAAUUUUGGACAAUGGGCGCAAGCCUGAUCCAGCAAUGCCGCGUGCGGGAAGAAGGCCUUCGGGUUGUAAACCGCUUUUGGCAGGAACGAAACGGUGUCCGCUAAUACCGGGCGCUAAUGACGGUACCUGCAGAAUAAGCACCGGCUAACUACGUG
rnacentral:rRNA from 1 species